rnacentral:rRNA from 1 species
AGAGUUUGAUCCUGGCUCAGGAUGAACGCUGACAGAAUGCUUAACACAUGCAAGUCUACUUGAUCCUUCGGGUGAAGGUGGCGGACGGGUGAGUAACGCGUAAAGAACUUGCCUUACAGACUGGGACAACAUUUGGAAACGAAUGCUAAUACCGGAUAUUAUGACUGAGUCGCAUGAUUUGGUUAUGAAAGCUAUAUGCGCUGUGAGAGAGCUUUGCGUCCCAUUAGUUAGUUGGUGAGGUAACGGCUCACCAAGACGAUGAUGGGUAGCCGGCCUGAGAGGGUGAACGGCCACAAGGGGACUGAGACACGGCCCUUACUCCUACGGGAGGCAGCAGUGGGGAAUAUUGGACAAUGGACCAAAAGUCUGAUCCAGCAAUUCUGUGUGCACGAUGAAGUUUUUCGGAAUGUAAAGUGCUUUCAGUUGGGAAGAAGUCAGUGACGGUACCAACAGAAGAAGCGACGGCUAAAUACGUGCCAGCAGCCGCGGUAAUACGUAUGUCGCAAGCGUUAUCCGGAUUUAUUGGGCGUAAAGCGCGUCUAGGCGGUUUAGUAAGUCUGAUGUGAAAAUGCGGGGCUCAACCCCGUAUUGCGUUGGAAACUGCUAAACUAGAGUACUGGAGAGGUAGGCGGAACUACAAGUGUAGAGGUGAAAUUCGUAGAUAUUUGUAGGAAUGCCGAUGGGGAAGCCAGCCUACUGGACAGAUACUGACGCUAAAGCGCGAAAGCGUGGGUAGCAAACAGGAUUAGAUACCCUGGUAGUCCACGCCGUAAACGAUGAUUACUAGGUGUCGGGUAGCAAAGCUAUUCGGUGCCGCAGCAAACGCAAUAAGUAGUCCACCUGGGGAGUACGUUCGCAAGAAUGAAACUCAAAGGAAUUGACGGGGACCCGCACAAGCGGUGGAGCAUGUGGUUUAAUUCGACGCAACGCGAGGAACCUUACCAGCGUUUGACAUCCCAAGAAGUUAACAGAGAUGUUUUCGUGCCUCUUCGGAGGAACUUGGUGACAGGUGGUGCAUGGCUGUCGUCAGCUCGUGUCGUGAGAUGUUGGGUUAAGUCCC